UGCAGUCGAGCGAACAGAUGAAGUGCUUGCACUUCUGACGUUAGCGGCGAACGGGUGAGUAACACGUAAGGAAUCUACCUAUAAGCGGGGGAUAACAUUCGGAAACGGGUGCUAAUACCGCAUAAUAUCUUCUUCCGCAUGGAAGAAGAUUGAAAGACGGCUCUGCUGUCACUUAUAGAUGACCUUGCGGUGCAUUAGUUAGUUGGUGGGGUAACGGCCUACCAAGACGAUGAUGCAUAGCCGACCUGAGAGGGUGAUCGGCCACAUUGGGACUGAGACACGGCCCAAACUCCUACGGGAGGCAGCAGUAGGGAAUCUUCCGCAAUGGGCGAAAGCCUGACGGAGCAAUGCCGCGUGAGUGAAGAAGGCCUUCGGGUCGUAAAACUCUGUUAUAAGAGAAGAACAAAUUGUAGAGUAACUGCUACAGUCUUGACGGUAUCUUAUCAGAAAGCCACGGCUAACUACGUGCCAGCAGCCGCGGUAAUACGUAGGUGGCAAGCGUUGUCCGGAUUUAUUGGGCGUAAAGGGAGCGCAGGUGGUUUCUUAAGUCUGAUGUGAAAGCCCACGGCUUAACCGUGGAGGGUCAUUGGAAACUGGGAAACUUGAGUACAGAAGAGGAAUGUGGAACUCCAUGUGUAGCGGUGGAAUGCGUAGAUAUAUGGAAGAACACCAGUGGCGAAGGCGACAUUCUGGUCUGUUACUGACACUGAGGCUCGAAAGCGUGGGGAGCAAACAGGAUUAGAUACCCUGGUAGUCCACGCCGUAAACGAUGAGUGCUAGGUGUUGGA
rnacentral:rRNA from 1 species